AGUGAACGCUGGCGGUAGGCCUAACACAUGCAAGUCGAACGGCAGCACAGGAGAGCUUGCUCUCUGGGUGGCGAGUGGCGGACGGGUGAGGAAUACAUCGGAAUCUACCUUUUCGGUGGGGGAUAACGUAGGGAAACUUACGCUAAUACCGCAUACGACCUACGGGUGAAAGGUGGGGGACCGCAAGGCCUCACGCGAUU
rnacentral:rRNA from 1 species